GAUGACCCUGCUUCCAAACACUUUCUCCACUGACACAGGAGUUUGCUCUUCUCUUCUGUACCAUUUUCCUGAAGAACUGGAAGACUAAGAGCAAGAUCCUCGGAACAUGUAACAGUGUAGACAAAGCAGGACUUACUUCAUGAGGACACGGCCAUCAAUAUGCAGACAGAGCACCCCAAAUCUUUAAGAAAUACCUUUCCAACAGUGAGAGACAUGGAUCUAGAUGAACGAGGAACCCCAUCUUCUGCACAGAAACAAAGACAAAGAACAGUCUUAGACUAUAUUUUCCACAUACUGCAUCAUUACUUCUGUUGCCUUUGACAUACGCUUUUCCUAAGGAAGAAAAGAAGGAAAUACCCAGGUAAC